rnacentral:rRNA from 1 species
GAUGAACGCUGGCGGCGUGCCUAAUACAUGCAAGUCGAGCGAACAGACGAGGAGCUUGCUCCUCUGACGUUAGCGGCGGACGGGUGAGUAACACGUGGAUAACCUACCUAUAAGACUGGGAUAACUUCGGGAAACCGGAGCUAAUACCGGAUAAUAUAUUGAACCGCAUGGUUCAAUAGUGAAAGACGGUUGUGCUGUCACUUAUAGAUGGAUCCGCGCCGCAUUAGCUAGUUGGUAAGGUAAAGGCUUACCAAGGCUACGAUGCGUAGCCGACCUGAGAGGGUGAUCCGCCACCCUGGAACUGAGACACGGUCCAGACUCCUACGGGAGGCAGCAGUAGGGAAUCUUCCGCAAUGGGCGAAAGCCUGACGGAGCAACGCCGUGUGAGUGCUGAAGGUCUUCGGAUCGUAAAACUCUGUUAUUAGGGAAGAACAAAUGUGUAAGUAACUAUGCACGUCUUGACGGUACCUAAUCAGAAAGCCACGGCUAACUACGUG